rnacentral:lncRNA from 1 species
UGUUUUGGUGAGUGGUUUAUAUGCUUGUAUGUGGCUUUGAGAUGUGUCUCUAUUGUACUUAGAUGGUAUUGCGAGCAAAUUGCUAGUGCCACUUCAGGCAUACUGACAGAACAAUCAACACCCAGUUUAUAAUUCAUACAUUUAUAUGACACUCUACUUUAAUUUAUUCAUCAAGUGAAAAAUCAUGCACCGGCAGAUUUCAUCAUUGAAUUGGAUAAUUAGAUUGGCAUUUGGUGUUCACUUGGUCAUGUGAAUAGGGCUGUUGUCUGUAUGUUGAAGUUGGUGAUGCAAGUUGAAACUAACCUAAUAUUGACUUUUGGCAUGUUAAGAGUUGAAUCGCAAUUGCAAUUAAUUCAUUAAGUGACACUUAUCAGCCAUCAGAUUUUUUCAUCGAAUUAGAUAAUUAGAUAAUUAGAUCGGCAUUCAAUGUUUACUUAGACAUGUGAGUCGGACUGUUCUCCAUAUGUUGAAGUCAGUUAUGCAAUUCGAAACCAAUCCGUUUAAGCCUGAUGUUGACUUUAUGCAAGUUAGAGUUUGGGAUUUCAUGUCUUGAAUCAAAGCUGAGACUUGGGGUUGAAAGUAGCUGCACCUUUAGCCUGUUUAGACAUAGAGUGAUGGGACUGAGUGGUGUACGGUAAAAGAAAACAAUGUUAAUGUAAGCGAAUUUAUAAUUUAAAAGCUAACCAUGCAUUAAGUUAGUGUGAGAGCCCCCUGAAGUCUUUGUCAGAUUUGAGCUAGAGCUGACUAUUCAUUCCGCAUUUUGGGUUUUGGUUGACCUCUAUCUUGACUGAACCCACUUGAGAUAAAGCCCCAGAGUUACUUUCCACCAUGAUAUUUGAGUUUGUCGGGUUAGCAUAUCUUAUACUUUUCCUGAAAAACAAAUAUAUAUGUUAACCCAGGUUGAAAAAAUUAUUUACUGAGUUGUUAUGGGUGCAACUCAUGUUUUGAAACAUUUAAGAUUUCUAGCCAUUAUUUUACUAUCCUGUGGGUUUUUAAGGUACAAGAGACUGUCAAAACAACAUAAUAUCUUAAUUACUUAUAAUAAUCCUACAAGUGCACAUGGUCUAAAAAUGUGAAAUUUAAAACGGUCUUAGGGUUGGAAAAGAUAGGGUAGAGGUGAUGAAUGUUUUGUGAGUUUGAAUGAAGGGAAAAAUAAUAAUAAUAAUAAGUCUAGUGUAUAAUAUUUGAAAACCCUGCUUCAUCAUGUGAAAUGGAUUGAAUUGCUGUAAGAUCUGUCCAAAUUAAACUGUCUAAACUCAUUACAGGCUUGAGGGAGCAAAGAAAUUUUUUUUUUUUUUUUAGCAACUCCAGAGUCAUUUAAAAAUGGAAAAUUUUUCCUAAAGCAGUUUUUGUUGUAUGAUUAAAGAGAAAUGUGAGAUUUUCAGGUUGAAGGAAGGACAAUAAAAGCCCAGACAUGGGACGCUGCAGGUCAAGAGCGAUACAGAGCAGUAACGACUGCCUAUUAUAGGGCCGCACUCCGAGCUCUUUUAGUUUAUGAUGUGACAAAAUCAACAACAUUUGAAAAUGUGAGCCGCUGGCUGAAGGAUCUGAGGGACCAUGCAGACUCCAACAUCGUGAUCAUGAUGAUCAGCAACAAGGCUGAUCCGAAACACCUCCAACUUCUAUGGUGAUGGCCUCUCUCCCUCUGUUACUCUCAAUUUCUUCCCAUUUUAUCGUGUUCGAACUUCUAUGUUAAUUUUUCAGUCUCUUGAUGGUUUAUUGUUGAAACUUAUUUUUAUUUAAUUUUUGUUAACAAUGUUGUAUUUGAAUUAUUCUCCUCAUUGUUGUUGCGACUUGAGAUAUCAGAAUUUUUUUGUUACGGCAGUGUGCACUAGCAAUGUUGCUGCUUACUCUGGUUUUUAGUGUAUAAUACACUGCUUCAGUUGGAUUCAUUCUGUGUUACAAGGCAAUGAAGUUGGCUUUAACAUUUUCUGUGGUCAUUUUUGUAAUUUGAUUUGACAAAAAUGGUAUUUUCCUUGUGUGUUUGCCUCGAACAAUUGCAAUUUUCUAGUUAUAAUGUUUUUGAAACAACAUCCAAAUAGCGCUAAAUAUCUUUUGCUAUACAAAAGUCUCUCUCAGUUUGCUAUUAUUAUUAUUAUUUUUUUUUUUUAAAGUUCAUUGCGUUAUUAUGACCAUUACAUAGUUUGUUAUAGCAAGUUCGGAUGUUGCACUAUUUCAUUUGUGGAAACAGACUUUUAUUUAUUUAUUUUUUAAAAAAAGAAGAAUAAAAAGAAAUACUAUGUCAACUUACUUGGCUCCAAGUUUAAUAAUAAUAAAGAAAUAUAUAUUGAUUAUUUGAUGCCACGUUACAAUGCCCAAUUUAGAGAAAAUUGUUACGAAUAAUUAUUGGAAAAUGAAAUGAAACAAAAAAUUUGUUACCGGAUGAAGCACCAUCACAUCCUUAAGCUUUAAGACAAUAAUAGUCGUGUAAAUUGGGGACCCGCAAAGCCGUCGAGUAAAUUUGCUUAACGUGAUUUGAAUUGAAGUUAUACAUAAUUCAUAAUUUCAAAAGAAAUGAAAAAGAAUAAUCGAAAAAUCGAUAUGCACUUCUAUCUUGCCACCACUCACCCUCUCGACUAAAUGUCAUUUUCUUUGAACUUUCAUGGCUUCUAAGCUCCCAUCAAGAAUUAGAAAUUCACAAAUCCAACCUUUAUUAUCUCAUCAAUUCAUCCCGAAUCCAAACCUUACCUCGUAAUUUUCAUUUUGCUUUUUUUUUUUUGUCCUUUCUUCUUUGACAGAACGGGCAAUUCCAUUUUACUUCUGACGUAACAAGCACGUCCCAUUCCCACACACCAUUACUUAUUCACAAGUUUACAUUCAUUUACUGAACUGAGUGACCAAUUUCUUUAAUGCUAAAUGUAUCAUGAGAUGCAGAAGAAGAAGAAGAAGAGUUGCAUUCCGAAGUCAAUAUGAUGCAAAUAAGCUGCCCUUGCCAUCAUCACCUUCAUCGGCAGCAUUUUAAUUCUUAAGGCAUAUGCCUACACUUUUCUUACAUUUUUAGUCAUUAUGAGCUAAAUUUUCCACACAUAAUAAUGUUAUUUCUUUUAAUAUGUCUGACAAGUCCAAGUUUAAUUAACCUUAAAUUUUAGGAUUUUGAGAGUAGAGAUUAAUUUUUUUUUCAAAAUAUUAAAAUAUUUUCACUUAUUUGACUAUUUUAUUUCAUUCCUUAUCAUAAUUUUUAAAAAAAUUUAGCAUUAAAAUAAUUUUACAAUUUGUACUAAAAACUCUCAUUGACAAUCAAACAACUAUUUUUUUUUUUUUUUGUGAAAGCUCUAUUUGUAAAAGAUUUACCAAAAACAAAACUACUUAAAUAAUCUAUAUUUGAAAAGUUUUACCAAAUAGAGUCUUAAUAAAGACAAAAUAACUUAUUUAAUCUUUAAAGUUAAUCUUUAAAAAAAAACAACAAUAAAGAUUUUGAAAGAAUUUAUGAGAUUAAGUAAGCAUUUUAUGACUAUUAAAUAAAUCACACCAAAUAGGCACAUAAUUUUGAAAUGAUAGACUUUAAUAUUUUUUAUAGUGAUUUGAUUUUUUCUAAUUCCUGUAAUAGUGAGGCGAUAAUAACUUUUUUUAGAAUUAUAAAAUCGUAUGUUAACUUUAAUGACAACUUAGAAUUGACAACAUUGUUGUAAUGUAAAAAAAAAUUAUUAAAUUUGGUUUCACUAAAAGAAAAUGUUGUAAAUAUAGUUCAAUUACAUUAAUUUUGGCUAUUUAGGGUCCUCUGUGGCCGAAUGUGAACAGACCGUUUGUAUGCUUAAAGAUUCGAAGUUGAGUUAAUUAACCGUUUGUAGACUUUGAGUUGAUUAGCCUGAGUUAAUUGAUAAGAGAUGUGAUUUCUAUCCACCCUGCCAUUGAGUUGAGUCAAGUUAUAGGGAUGCACGAGUCAAUUGCUGAAAUCAUUUGCUACAUUGCAUUGAGUAGCUCUGCUAUUAUCAUGGUUGCGUACCAAUAUGGCAGAAAGCUUAUGGAUGCUUGUCGUAGGCUUUACCACAAAAUUUUGAGGCCAUCUUUCGGCAAGAUCUGGAAUUGGUUUAAAGCUCAUUAUAACAACUUCUCUUCGCCAGAGCAGCAGCAACGCCCGGCAGUGUAAUUGAAAAAGUUUAAUCUUUGUUUUAAAAUUUCAUCCAAGAAUUUCCACUGAUAGAUUCCACUUAUGUUUCCAGAUUUCCAUAGAUCAAAAUAUAUACCAGAUAAUAUGCAGCUUUUAAUUCAAUAAUAUACAGUUUUUGAUAGUGCGUUCAUAUCGGAUUCUUAGGUGCACUGUUUUAUUAUUAUUAUAAAAUAUAAAUAUAUGUAUUGUACUUGCAUUUUCUUGACGAAUUAGAGACUCGAUAUCAGCUGCUAAGGGAAAGCAGUAGAUUACUUAUAUGUAUUGUUUGUUUUAUAUGUGCGUUCAUAUCGGACUCUUAAUCAUGAUGAAAUUAUCUCAACCAGUUUAUAUGACAGCAGAUAACAAACCCAGAUUGCACCAGAUUCAGCCACGUGGAAAACGGUUUGCAACGACUUUGAUCAUCACAUGCUUAGUCACGUAAACCACUUAAGUCAUGGUUAAAACGGGUUUGGAAGCUGUCGUUUUAAAGCUUAUGAAACUUAAGUGAAUCACGUGCACAGCUCGUGUCGUGAUCAACUAACUCAAAUCCCUUUUGCUUAAAACGCUGCCGUUCCUUAUGUAUAAGUUUUGAAUUCGGCAUUUUAGUCCACACCAACGGUAACCCACCCCGGCACCCCCCUCCCCCUGGGGGGGGAAAAAAUCAUGCAUGAAUAAUGAGAAUAUGGAGUUGUUUUGGAUAAUUAUUACCCUAGAAGAUUUUUAAUCGUCUCACCACCUCAUUUUUUAAACAUGGUUUUAUCUAAACCUUUGAAGGUAUUUAUUUUAUUUUUAUUAUUUUAGGAAAUUCGAAAUCGAAUUCAUAUCCUCGAUUUUUUUGGCUGUUUUCAGUUUCUGACAGUUUUCUUUAAACUAUCAACCACUUAAAACAAAAUGUUAACAAUAAUAAUACUUUGAAGGCAUAAAUUAUCCAAGGAAAUUAGGAUUAAUUUUAAAAGUCAAAGUUCAUAUUCGUCUUUGCAUCUUAUCAAGAGGGAGAUUGCUAGCUUCCCUCUUGAAUAAUCAAGACGAAGAGGUUUGGUUUCAAUCUCGCUCUUAUUCAAGAAUUUCAUGUUUGUAUCCGAUUAAUGGCACGAAAGAGAGUGUAUUAGUCCAAAUUAAGUAUGCUGUAUUGGAACUAUUAAGCUGAAACUAGAUGGCUUCUGUUUACUAAGCAAUACAAGAAUUUGAGUUAUAAUUAGGUCAGCUUUAUGUUUGGCUGUAACUAGAUGGGUUCUGUUCACUUACUUAUCUGUGUUAUCGUCUUUAUUAACCCAUUCUUUAAGCUAUAUCAGGGUAUUAGAAACAGAGCUAUGAAAGAAAUUCGUACCUGCAUUCAUUUUAGUGAAACUUUGACCAGCUUGUUCAUUCAUAUACAACUAUUAGAGUUGCGCAACUCCAUUCAUAUUGCCCCAGUGUUGGCCACAGCUGUCUUGUGUGCAUGGAAUUUAGAGAAACAAUAAAUUUAAGUGUAGACUAACCACGAUGUUAAUUUUAUGGCAAAAGAAAACGAUGUUAAUGUUAGUGAAUUUAUAAUAAAAAGCUAACCAUGCAUUAAGUUAUCGUGAGAGCCCCCUGAAAUCUAUGUCAGAUUUGAGCUAGAGCUGAGUAUUCAUUCUGCAUUUUGGGUUUUGGUUGACCUCUAUCUUGACUGAACCCACUUGAGAUAGAGCCCCAGAGUUAC